rnacentral:rRNA from 1 species
UACGAGGGGGGCAAGUGUUGUUCGGAAUCACUGGGCGUAAAGGGAGCGUAGGCGGAUGUUUAAGUCGGGUGUUUUAAAACCGGGGCCCAACCCCGGAGCGGCACCCGAAACUGGAUAUCUUGAAUAGGUCAGAGGCUGGUGGAAUUGGAGGUGUAGCGGUGGAAUGCGUAGAGAUCUCCAAGAACACCUAUUGCGAAGGCAGCCAGCUGGGACCAUAUUGACGCUGAGGCACGAAAGCGUGGGGAGCAAACAGG